rnacentral:rRNA from 1 species
GAUGAACGCUGACAGAAUGCUUAACACAUGCGAGUCUUUGGUGAAGCUGUGCUUGCACAGCCUAGCCAAGGCGGACGGGUGAGUAACGCGUAAGGAACUUGCCCUGCAGUCAGGGAUAACAGACGGAAACGACUGAUAAGACCUGGUAAAGUCAGGCGGACUCAUGUCCAGCCUGAUGAAAAGAGAUGCUGCAGGAGAGCCUUGCGUCCUAUUAGCUUGUUGGUGGGGUAACGGCCCACCAAGGCAAUGAUAGGUAGCCGGCCUGAGAGGGUGGACGGCCACAAGGGGACUGAGAUACGGCCCUUACUCCUACGGGAGGCAGCAGUGGGGAAUAUUGGACAAUGGGGGCAACCCUGAUCCAGCAAUUCUGUGUGCACGAUGAAGGUUUUCGGAGUGUAAAGUGCUUUCAGCAGGGAAGAAAAAAAUGACGGUACCUGCAGAAGAAGCGACGGCUAAAUACGUG